GGGUCGUUAGCUCAGUCGGUAGAGCACCGGACUUUUAAUCCGUUGGUCGCGCGUUCGAAUCGCGCACGACCCACCA
rnacentral:tRNA from 2 species